GGGAAGAGCUGUACGGCCUUC
rnacentral:miRNA from 1 species